rnacentral:tmRNA from 1 species
UGUCAGACCGGGGGUGUUCCCGACCCGGACCCUGGCAUAAUCUAGGGGACUAAACCAUUCGGCCCGGUCACGGGGUCGGAUGGGAAACCAAACAGUGACUGGGCCCGUCGGCGACUUGUUCGCGUGAUCGCCGGGGCCGAGAAAAUCGCAGCGAACUGCACACGGAGAAGCCCUGAUUCCGCACCGUUGGACGCGGGUUCGAUUCCCGCCAUCUCCACUC